ACAGGUGGUGCAUGGUUGUCGUCAGCUCGUGUCGUGAGAUGUUGGGUUAAGUCCCGCAACGAGCGCAACCCUUAUGACUAGUUGCCAGCAUUUAGUUGGGCACUCUAGUAAGACUGCCGGUGACAAACCGGAGGAAGGUGGGGAUGACGUCAAAUCAUCAUGCCCCUUAUGACCUGGGCUACACACGUGCUACAAUGGAUGGUACAACGAGUUGCGAGACCGCGAGGUCAAGCUAAUCUCUUAAAGCCAUUCUCAGUUCGGACUGUAGGC
rnacentral:rRNA from 1 species